CCUAGCAAAACAGGACGGAUGAAGUAUUUAGAAACACACGAAGAUAUUGUAGAGUUUUAAUAUGUCCAAACAAUACUUAGGAGCUGGCUUGAAAUAUUCAGUGCAUUGAAGAGAGAGUCAAUGAAGUUACUGAUUAAUUCUUUACUGUAUCCUUGUCCGCUAAGAUUAAGUGCAAUAUGGUGAUAUGGGCUCUCUCUUCCCAAGUCUCUCCGCCAUGGACGACCUCCCAUAAUGGCGAACUCGCCCGGCCGCACCCAGCCGGAGCCAUGGACGAGCUCCUCAGGCCGCACCUCGCUGGAUCCGGACUCCCCCGGGAGCCACCCCGCCGGAUCCGGGCUCCCCAGGCAGUGACCCCGCCGGAUGGCCCUCGACCGAAGCAGAUCAUGGCACGCCUCGGCCUCGGCUCCAUCUCUCUGGUACUCACUCUCCUUUUCGGUCUCUCCCUCGCUCGGUUUCCCUCACCCUCUCUCUUGCUGCAUAUUGCCGCCGCCGCCGUGGCCAUUGGAGCACAAGCACAUAUCCUUGGCCUCUGUGCGCCGAAUCCGGCCCCAGCUCCCCGCGAGCAUUCUCUGUAAAUUUGACUCCGACCUCUUACUUUUGUGUAAUGGAUGGAAAAGAUAACAAUGUGCACAAGGCAAGCUAUUUGAUUUUGGUCCAUGCGUUCAUCUUUUGGGGAAUAGCUUCAUGUAGUUUUUGCACUGUCCCAAUUCAGGUUAGAGGGAGAGAUUAGGUAAAAAACUAGACAUCUGGAUUACAUUCACAUACAGGGAGGACCGGCAUCUCUAGAUUUUUUUUCUCCGCCAUAACUUCAGCGAGGGUUUGCAAGGUUAGUAAUGUUUCAAUCCUUGCAUCCUUUCAUUUUUUUUUAAAGCUUGCACCAUUUUUUGCAUAUAGAUUUGGAGCUAACCAUAUAGCAAUAUCGCCACGUUGCGAUUCCAGGCUUUGCAAUGCCAGGGUGCCAGUCAGAGGCAAAUCUGUUUGCCCUUCCUAUUCCACUAUAUUAUGAUUUCUUUUUUCCUUCAGUGCUUCUUCUCCUUGUUAUUAGUUCGAAAGACUUCUUUUGUAAAAUUGUUGCAUGUUCUUUAAUGGUAGUUUUAGUGUAGUUUUAUUGCUUCUAAUGAGAAGUCAUCGGACAAUGUCCCCACUAUUAAUUAGCCUUUUUUUAACAAAUCAUGUUGCUUUAAAGUCAAUUGUUUUGUCUUUUCGAUAUCCUGCAAUGUUAAAGAAUUUUGUUACUUCAAAACCUGAUUGUUUAAUCUUCUUGAAAAUAGCCCCAGGUUAACAAAUUGUUUUGUUUCUAGCUCAAUUUUUUUAAGCUGUUGCAGUCCAUGUAGCUCUUAAUUACUUUGUGAUUGUUAAGGACUUGGUGUUAACAAGACAUCUCAACAUAAUCCGGUCCUUCAUAGGUCCAAUACUACUUCAUGUCUUUUAUUUUGUUAGCUUGAACUUAAUAUUGGUGGUCAAAAGUGCACACACAUGCACAUGCCAUCAUUUUCAGCUAGAGAUAUGUAGCCUGCAGGCACACCUUUCAUUAAUUAUGGUCCAGAGAUUCAGGUAUAUGUUAUUUUCAUACUGUACAAUGAUUAAGAUGUAUCAUUAGAUGAUCUUCCCCUGCAGGCAUCUUUUGUCUCAUGGUAUAAUUCUUUCUGCUUAUGUGAUCCUCAUAUUUAAAGUUAAUUUCGUUGCUUCUCUUUUGUUGCAACGGCCAGCACUCUUAUGCAUGUUUGGUAAACUACAGUCUGGAUGGUUGCAUAUAUGCCAGCCAUAGUUGCCUCCCUCUUCGCUAUUUUCUACCUUGUUGAUAACCUCAUUGGCAUCCAAUAACCUGAAGAUGAUGUCUCGAUAGAUGUCUCACGAUGUGUAUAAUUGUUGUGUCUUCAGUUGGUUUACUAUGACAUUUUAAAUAUCUUCGAUAAGAUCAACGUGACAUUUCCCUUGGCCUUCUUGGUUGCAUGGUUGCUCAGACUAAGGUCAAAUCAAAGACGUGAUUGGUCAGAUGCAAGAUUGUUGUCAAUGGAACAACCUCAGAUAGAAGAUGAUGCCUUUUGUUGUAUGAUGACUCCAAUUGGAAAUAAAUUUGUUACAGGGAUGGGUGCUUACAUUCAUCUGAAACUUGCAUGCUCAGGGGGCUACCUUGAUCAUUUGCUAGGAAAAAGGGUCUCAAGCACAAGAAGGAGCAUGUUUCAUGAUAGAAGCAUACUAGAACCGUACUGGAAACCUCUUUAUUUUUUAACUUAAUUGUGUUUCAUGAUUCUAGGUUGGUAUUCUUUUUAGGUAUAAGAGCAGAGCAGCUUGAUUUUGUUGUAUAUGUUUGUCAACUUGUAUAUAUGGUUAUUAAAAACACUCUGUGUCAGUAAUACUGAAUGCAAUUGCCAAAUAAUGAAGGCACACAAGAUACAUAAGAUUA